GGGGCGAGCGCCGCCCGUGAGGAGAGCGGCGGUGCCCGCGGAGCCCGCGCUGCGCCUCAUUCCCGCGCUGCCGUGUGAGGCCGCGGCUCAGCGCUGCGUUCAGCCCGGGCUUCCCGCUCUCUGAAAGACAGCGAGGCCCUGGAGCGUCCUGAGGGAGGCAGCGACGCUGUGAGGACACAUGGCCCUCAGAACCCCAGCGCUUGGCUCCUGGCAGGGCAGAAGACAUUGUGACAUGGCGGCACAGCAGCAGCAGGAUGUCCCCUUGGAGCUCAUCCCCAGCUUGUUCUACACGAGGGCUUCCUGCCGUUGCCUGCCUGCACAUGGAGCACGAAUCUGAAUGCAGCUCAUCUCAUGCACAGACACCUGAAGCCCUCAGCGCAGCUGGCAGCAGUGCGGUAUGGACACGCCAAGUUUGCACAGUGGUGUUGGCAGCUGCAGCACAUCCACCUUCACGUUGGCACCGUGACACGGUUUCUCGAGCUGAGGACAGCCCACCUGCAUCCCUCCUGCACCCCACCACCACAGUGCUGCACAUCGGAGCUGCUCCAUGCGCCCAGCCCUGGCUCUCCUUUGCUCAGAGAACGCUCACAGUCAUAAAGAAAAAGCUUUUAUAAUCAGCAGAUGUGAUUCGCCGCCAGAUAAUGCUUUUAGUUGUGAGGUUGCUCUGGUGUUUUGUUCACUCUCUUCGCCCUCAUCUUGUAUAGGGCAGGAGUUCCUGAUGCUACCACACAGGGCUCCUUCCUCUGCCCCAAACCAUCCUGAUGUGAGUGCAGGGCGGGGGGAGGCUGUGACACAAAGCCACAUCCCGCACUGCAGCUCUGCCCUCCCUGUGUCCCAUCCCGGCGAGCUGCAAGGCGCUGCUCCACGCAGUUUCCCAGUGUAGGUAAUGGCUUGGGGCCAACGUCCCUCCCCGGGGAGCUGCAGGCAGGGGCAGGAUGGGCUGACACACCGCGUGCAGUCAGACAGACCCCCAUUCAGUGCUGGCACCAACACUGAACACCCCUUCUGACGCUGGCAGAAGGCUGUGUUUCAGUUUCAGCUGGAAACUAUCACUGUAAAUUAUCAUAGGAUCACAGAAGGAUUAAUGUUCCAGAAGCGAAAGCUGCGUUCAGAAAUUAGUCUGCAGUUUAUGCAAGCGGAAAAGAAAAACACGGGGCCUAUUUUACGCAAACUGGGAGAACUGAGGCUGAUGAGACCCAGCGGUGACUCAACGACAGACAGCAAACUGCAGGUGUUCAGAACGGGAAACACGAUUCCUCGCUGCUUCUCACGUCAAUCGCCCUGAAAAAGGGCAUUUAACUACGGCUGCAAAUGACCUGUAAAUGGAAUGGCAACACGCUCCAUUCAUUUUCUUAGAUAAAAGAGCUACGCUCUUCAAUGCACUUAAACGUUAAUUUGCAAGAGGUGAAUGUUAGAGCUUAAUAUGUACUCCUGAAGCUGCACGUGGCUCCUCCUAAUUGCUUUUCCUGCUUAAACUGCGAAGGCCUUUCCUUGCCAUGGAGCCACGGCAAAAAAGCCUAGAAGAAAAAGGUGGUACACGAGGGGAACUGACACAGAACACUUUGCAGCAAAGGCAGAGGUGUAUCAGGAGGAGCUGGGGAGGCUGGGCUCCCAGAGAUAAAGAUCCAGGGCAGCUCCUACUGAUGUCCCUCACCUCCGUGCUGAGAGCACCCUCUGCCUCCAGCUCUGAGCCACACCAGUACCGUACAGAGGAGACGGGAUCUUCUGCCCUCCCCUGUACCCAUCCCAGGAAAGCCAUCCCAUCCCUGCAGCCCAGGAAAGCCCCCAUGCUCACCCCAUGGACUGCUGCCUCGCUUAGCACUGCUGCUGUCCCUGGUUGCUGGAUGAGCACUUGCUAACAGUAGUCAGCGAUAAAAUCGAUGCAAAUUUCUAUUUCUCAAGACAGAUCUCCAAACACAACCAGAAAACUUUGCAGGAAGCAGAACUAAAGGGACUCAAAGCUUGUGAUGAAUUAUGCCUUUAUUAUUCUGGCCUACAGAGAGCUGUACUGCACUGCUCCCUUCCCAGCUGCGAGAUGUGCAGCAGGCAGGGAGGCGUUCCUCCAGGCACAGCGGGCACGGCUGUACUGCAGCAGCAGUGACAAAACUGUAUCUCAAGCAAUCCCAGUGCCUUCCCAUCCCAGGUAGAGGAGAGCAGAUGGCUGAAGCACAAAAAUCUGGGUCGUCUGCCCAAAAUUCAGCUGCAGCACGAGGAAUCCCUGCGGAGUCGCUGGGGAGGGAGGCGGGCAGCAGAGCUCUGCCCAUCUCCUGGCCUCGCCAGGUGCCGAUCUGCAGGGCAGAGCCCACACCCAGGGCAGUGCACAGCUCACUCCCGGCACGCUGAAGGCUGUGCCGCGUUGGGUUCAGCAGCAGCAGGGAAUUUCUUUCUUCAGAUGGAUUCUAACUUUAGCAUUCUCCUGGCUGCUAACCGCAGCUUUCUUUCACUCCUGCUGCCACCUUCCAAAGCGCAGCUCGUUCCAGCUGAGCAGCCACAAGUCAGCCUUUGUGGCACCUGCCACAGGGCCACUGCACCCUACAGGCACCUUUUCAAAACCUGAGGCUUUUCCUUCAGUCAUGCUUCCAAGCAGUACGGAGCUCUGCUCAGCUGCCUCCUACAUACUGCAUUUUUUGCAUGAGUACCUCACGUUUGUGUCACAUUCAGCAUCUGAGAUGGAGGCAUCCAGCAAGAGCCAGGUGAGCAGCUUGUGGGAGAAGGAGCGGCGCGGGCUUCCUGCAGAGCUUCUCUUCAAGUGCAAAUAUGUACUCGCUUUGGUCCCUUUUGCUCCACAGGAUUUCCUAUCACUGAUACACGUUCACACCUCUACUAUUGUUGUUAUGAAUUUUACCCUUUUGUUUUUCAUUGCCUAAUUAAGUUUCACAUAAAUUUAGCUUUGGAAUACACAAUAUUUUCAUCUGUCAUAGCUUUCCAAAAUAGUUCUUUGAAAAAGUACAUAUACAAAAAUAUUUACCAACUAUAAAGUAGAAAAAAUACAUUUGGCUUGCAAAACCGUGGGUUUGUUUACCUGCAGAUCUGGGAUGCAGGACCCGAUCCUCCUCACAGCUGAAGCCCUUUGGCUGAGCUCAGCAGGGCUCCUGGGGACAGCCUGACUUCCUCACAUCCCACAGACAGGCGAGCUCGCUGA